rnacentral:lncRNA from 1 species
ACUCACUCCUCCUCCGCCUCCAGCGCCACCUCGUAUCUCCUCAUUCCCGACAUGUCCUGGGCUCCGAACGUCUCCUGGGGAGCGGCAUGAUUGAAUCAGGGAUUCCCUAGCCCCAGGUCCCCUUCUCCGUCAUUCUCAGGACGAGGCUGCCCAGUUCUCAGGCAGAAAAAUGUGAAAAGAGAGACUGGCCUAGCCUCCCAGCCUACAUCUUUCUCCCAUCCUGGAUGUUUCCUGCCCUUGAAUGUUGGACUCCAAGUUCUUCAGUUUUGGAACUCGGACUGUCUCUCCUUGCUCCUCAGCCUGCAGACGGCCUAUUGUGGGACCUUGUGAUCGUGUUGUUGUGGUGGUAUUACUACUACUCAGCAAGAUUCUGGUUUUACUUCUCAUCUUGGGAGUUACCAUCAAGACGUUAGGUAUGGCUGUGUGACCCACUUUGGCCAAUGAAAUGUGAACAGAAAUGGCAUAUGUCACUUGUGGACAAAAACAUUUAAGCAAGAAUUUCCCUUGCUGUCUUCCUUGACUGGAGCGACCAUGGAAGCCUGUGUUGAGAUGAAGAGGCUGCCAACAGAUCAAAACACUUGAAAACUUGAGCAGCCACAUGGACUACAACUGUGCUGGAGACUUGCCUGGACCCACAGCAGGCUUGGUAUGCAUGGGGAAUAGAAUUUUGUUGUAUUACACUCCUCAGAUUUGGAUGUCAUUUGUUAUUACAGCAUUACCUAGCCUAUUCUGACCAAUCAGGUGUGUUGGUGGUGGUUACCAGGUGUUAGAAAAUAGAGAUGUAAGAUUACAGUAAAACUGGAGGGGGAAAACAUGUCACCCCAAUAUCUUGGAUUUAGAAGCAGAUGUUGCUAUGGAAUGAAUUGUGUCCCCCCCCAAAUUCGUAUGUUUAGUCCUAACCCUAAAUGUGACUGUAUCUGAAGAUGGGGUCUUUAGGAGGUAAUUAAAGUUAAAUGAGGCCGGGUGUGGUGGCUCACACCUGUAAUCCCAGCCCUCUGGGAGACCGAGGUGGGUGGAUCACCUGAGGUCAGGAGUUCGAGACCAGCUUGGCCAACAUGGUGAAGCCCUGUCUCUACUAAAAAUAGAAAAAGUAGCUGGGUGUGGUGGUGUGUACCUGUAGUCCCAGCUACUUGGGAGGCUGAGGCAGGAGAAGUGCUUGAACCCAGGAGUUGGAGAUUGCAUUGAGCCAAGAUCAUGCCACUGUACUCCAGCCUGGGUGACAGAGUGAGACUCCAUCUCAAAAAAGAAGAAGAAGAAAAAAAAAGGUUAAAUGAGGUCAUAAUCCGAUAGGAGUAUAGACUUAGAAGAAGAGGAAGGGACCUCUCUUUGUCUCUCUCUGUCACAUAGUAAGAAGGUGGCUGGCUGGUUGCAAGCCACAAAAAAAGCCCUCACCAGAAAGUGACUAUCUUG